rnacentral:rRNA from 1 species
UACGUAGGGGGGCAAGCGUUGUCCGGAAUCAUUGGGCGUAAAGCGCGUGUAGGCGGCCCGGUAAGUCCGCUGUGAAAGUCGGGGGCUCAACCCUCGAAUGCCGGUGGAUACUGUCGGCUAGAGUGCGGAAGAGGCGAGUGGAAUUCCUGGUGUAGCGGUGAAAAUGCGUAGAUAUCAGGAGGAACACCGGUGGUGUAGACGGCUUUCUGGACCGUAACUGACGCUGAGACACGAAAGCGUGGGUAGCAAACAGG